rnacentral:rRNA from 1 species
ACUAACAAGGAAUCCCCCAUUAACGGCGAGUGAAGUGGGAAAAGCUCAACUUUGAAUCUGGCAGUUUUACUGUCCGAGUUGUAGUCUCGAGAAGCGUUUUCCGCGCUGAUGCAUGCAUGAGUCUGUUGGAAUACAGCGUCAUAGAGGGUGAGAACCCCGUUCGUGGCAUGCUUUUCAGUGCUUUGUGAUACGUUUUCGAUGAGUCGAGUUGUUUGGGAAUGCAGCUCUAAAUGGGUGGUAAAUUCCAUCUAAAGCUAAAUAUUGGCGGGAGACCGAUAGCAAACAAGUACCGUGAGGGAAAGAUGAAAAGCACUUUGGAAAGAGAGUUAAAAGUACGUGAAAUUGUCGAAAGGGAAACGCUUGAAGUCGGACGUGCAGGGCAACUUGCAGGCCAACAUCGGUUUCGAUAGCCGGAUAAAGGUCGGAGGAAGGUAGCAGCUCCGGCUGUGUUAUAGCCUCCAACUGAAUACGGAUAACGAGACCGAGGACCGCAGCGCAAGCUUAGGAUGUUGGUGGAACGGCUUUAAACGACCCGUCUUGAAACACGGACCAAGGAGUCUAACAUGCUUGCGAGUGUUUGGGUGUCAAACCCAUACGCGUAAUGAAAGUGAAUGGAGGUGGGAUCCGCAAGGAGCACCAUCGACCGGUCCGGACGUUUACUGAAGGAUCUGAGUAAGAGCACGUAUGUUGGGACCCGAAAGAUGGUGAACUAUGCCUGAAUAGGGUGAAGCCAGAGGAAACUCUGGUGGAGGCUCGUAGCGGUUCUGACGUGCAAAUCGAUCGUCAAAUUUGGGUAUAGGGGCGAAAGACUAAUCGAACCAU